AUUGAACGCUGGCGGCAGGCCUAACACAUGCAAGUCGAGCGGAUGAAGAGAGCUUGCUCUCUGAUUUAGCGGCGGACGGGUGAGUAAUGCCUAGGAAUCUGCCUGGUAGUGGGGGAUAACGUUCCGAAAGGAACGCUAAUACCGCAUACGUCCUACGGGAGAAAGCAGGGGACCUUCGGGCCUUGCGCUAUCAGAUGAGCCUAGGUCGGAUCAGCCAGUUGGUGAGGUAAUGGCUCACCAAGGCUACGAUCCGUAACUGGUCUGAGAGGAUGAUCAGUCACACUGGAACUGAGACACGGUCCAGACUCCUACGGGAGGCAGCAGUGGGGAAUAUUGGACAAUGGGCGAAAGCCUGAUCCAGCCAUGCCGCGUGUGUGAAGAAGGUCUUCGGAUUGUAAAGCACUUUAAGUUGGGAGGAAGGGCAGUAAGUUAAUACCUUGCUGUUUUGACGUUACCGACAGAAUAAGCACCGGCUAACUUCGUGCCAGCCGCCGCGGUAACAC
rnacentral:rRNA from 1 species